CUGCUGCCUUCCGUAGGAGUUUGGUCCGUGUCUCAGUACCAAUGUGGGGGGUUAACCUCUCAGUCCCCCUAUGUAUCGUCGCCUUGGUGAGCCGUUACCUCACCAACCAGCUAAUACAACGCAUGCCCAUCAUCAACCACCGGAGUUUUCAACCCCAUGCGAUGCCGCAUGAGAUAUUAUGGGGUAUUAGUACCAAUUUCUCAGUGUUAUCCCCCUGUUGAUGGUAGGUUGCAUACGCGUUACGCACCCGUGCG
rnacentral:rRNA from 1 species